CAUUGAACAAGGCCAUGCGAAAUCGACCGCGCCCGAGCAGGACGAAUUUCGCUGGAGAAUGCCAAUGAGUGAAAGCGUCUCGGUCAAGUGAACGGAUGCAGUUCCUUCCGCAGUUCAUCNNNNNNNNNNNNNUCAGAGAGAUUGAUCGUCUAUUCAUCCAAGGUCUCGCGCAUAAUCCCGAUGACCGUGCGGUCUGCCACAACCAUCGUCAACUCCGCAGGAUUUGCGAAACGCUGCGUGCAGAACGGGUCAUCUGGAGGCGUAACAUUUGUUCGAGGGGCGCUGCGGUAAUGGUGCGGUAAUGUGGAUCGAUAGACUGCCGCCGGUACUUCGGACAGGAGGCUGCAUGAAGAAGGCAAUCAUAUUUGCGCUUGCGUCAAUGGUGGGGCUUGGAUCGUUGCCAUCCAUGGCGCGUGCCGG
rnacentral:misc_RNA from 1 species